GACGUGCGCGUGCCCGUCAUUUUGUAACGGUCAACUUCCAGCGGACGGACACGGAGGAAAGGGCCUGACAACCACCAGUUGAGUCCAUGAUUCAGGGAAGAGACAGUCUGGGCAGCAGCAACAAGACAACUAUUACAAGUAGAGAUGGGUUUCAAGAACUGGUACUAAUUUGGUUCCUGACUUGUUCGACACAACCACAUAUCCUCCAAAUCAUCUCUGCGUGGAUGGCAGCAAGGAUCCAGGAUCAAGAGAUCAUUCUUCAUGGAGACUGUUCCACAGGAAGCAGUUUCUCCUGGGUCAUCCUGACCAUUCUGCUGUCCUGGAUAUUUGAGGGAAAGAUUAAAAACAAGGAGGUCUGGGAAUGACUGAAGGGAUCUGACAGCAGUGAGGGAAGGAAGUAAUCACCAGAAUCUCAGAGAAGGAUGUUGACAGCAGGCCCAGGAUGAAGAAGAGGAGGAAGAACACGUUUAACAAUUUUCUCAUAAGCUUGCCAUGUGUUAUAAUAAAAACAAUGAACAUGGCUACAAUAAUAUGCUAAAUGUUAUUAAAAGAUUCCAGUUUGCAAGAAGUCUGAGUGUCUGACUCUACACUAGAGGAACUCUUUUCUGAAGAAGAUCAGGUGCUGAGAAGAAGCCUUGUUCUACAGCAAAACACUGCAUCAAGCCUCCUGUCCUUCCCUCAGAAGAGCCUGUCUUCUGCUGCUGGGGUAAGAAACACACUCUUCCUCUUCUCUAUCGGCUGUCCUGCACCUAACUCUGUCUGAAAGAGUCUUCUCCACAGUCAGUAAUCAGAGAUCACAGAUUCUUCUGAGAAAGUCGAUAUGCUCAUUUUCUUAAAAAACUUUGUUUUUUCGGGUGGGACAAAUAAUACAGGAGAGAUGCUAGAAAUCUCUAUAUUGUUAAUUUUUCAUAUCUUUACGCUUUAUGAAUGUUUUUCUUCUGAGAAGCUCAAAAAUUAUGGUUCUUUGGUAAUUGUUAUAUUGUUUAGUUUUAUCCUCUGAUAGUGAGCACAGAGCCCUGAUCAUGACAUGCAAGAAAAAGAAAGAAAUCAUGUCCAUGAUUUACUAAUUCGUUCCCUCUAUGUACUAAACGUGCACGACUACUUUUACAUU